GGGUCGCCGUUAGGCUGCCGUAGCAGCGCGGCGGCGGUCGCGGUGCCCCGCACGGGAGGAGGCAGGAGCCCGGUAAAAGACCUCGCAUGGCGGUGUCAGACUGGUUUAUUGCAGCGGCGCAGGGUACAGCCUGCGGGGGACCACGGCGACAGCGAGCUCACCUGUGUCCCGCACCCUGCUGUAGAGCAGGGGCGUUUUGGUGCAAAACUGCGGAGAUUUGGCGACUCCCCGCGCUGCCGGGCCCGUCAGCAGCGGCGGAGUCAAACGCGGUGCCCGCCGGAGCCCUUCUUGCGCUUGGUGGUGGCGGUGGCGGGAGCGAGGACCAGGGCCUGGAGGCGGAAGGGUCGGGGCCGGGCACCCAGAGCCGCCUCGGGUCCCGGGGCGGCUGCGGGAGGAGGGAAGGGGCCUGGUGGGCAUCUCCCUUUUGGGAGACACGGAAACGGCCCCGUCCUGCCCCAAAACCCCCUAUUGAAUCAGGGCAGCUGGGCCAAAAAGCUCUCCCUCAAAACUGAAGUGAGGAAAGUGAAGGGGAAGUCCCGCUGCAGGGGCAGAGCCGGGAUUACCUCGGGUUGGGGUCGGGUCAGGGUGCAGGAUCUGGCUGGUGCGCCGCGGUCGGAAGUAGUUGGAGGCGAUGGUCUCACUGUCGCUCCUGUUCAGCACCAGCUUGUAGCGGUCUUCCUCGGGCUGGAGGUGGAAAAUGCUGUCACCAGCGCCAGGCCCUGCACUAGCUUGCGGGUUGUGUGGCUUGGGAAUGGGGCAAAAUGGUAAAACACGAUGGGAAAGGGAGGAGGAACGUGCCGUACCGCUGGCUCUCUGCUCUCGGCCAAGGGGCUGUCGUGGGAAGGUCUGGGCUGUGGCAGGGCUGGAACUGCUGGAGAGGAGACCGGUGUUAAAGGCUCAGUUAAUGCUCUCCUGAUCUCAGCACCGCUCCCCGACCAUGAGACUCACAGAGAUUCCCAAAGGAUCCAUGUUCUUACACAAACAUUCCAGACAGACUUUCUGUACAUGGGAGAUUUCAGAGCCCGAACGCGCUCUGCCGAGCCCGGCAGCGCCAUCGGGACGCUCCUGUUACCUGCAGGCAGGUUGCUGUAGUUGCAGUCGCGGCGGACGAGCAGCUGCACCUGAUCCAGCAGCUGCUGGCAGAGCAUCAGGUCUCGCUCCAGGCGGCGGAUGGUGCUCAGAACACUUUUGUCGGGGUAAUUUCUUCCUGCAAUGAGCUGAUGAGAACUGGAGGAAGCUGUGCGAUAGAUCGUGCACGUCAGCAGAGGGAGUUGCAUCCUCUCUCGUCACCAGACACCACCAGACAUGAUAGAGCCAUAGAAUCACAAAUUGGUUUGGGUUGGAAGGAACCUUAAAGCUCAUCCAGCUCUAACCCCCUGCCAUGGGCAGGGACACCUUCCACUAGAGCAG